rnacentral:lncRNA from 1 species
GGAUUAGCACAUCAGAACAAGCCCCAGAACUGCUGCUGAACCCGAGGUCCUCCCCCAGGCCCUGCAUCCUUCAGAGGCAUUCUCUGCCCAUGGGCUUGCACUCCCAGAGGAACACAGUCUACAAGAUCUAGCAUCAUACUUAUUUGGAAUACACUGGAUGUAAGAAAAAAGAAGAAUGUCCAAUGCCAACACUAUUGUUAACAUUAUAUAAAAGGUACUAACCAAGAGAAAUAUAAGAGAAUGAAAAUGAGAGUUAAAAACGUACCUAGGCAUAACUAAAACAAAAAAAAAAAGUGCAAGACCCAUGUGAAGAAACCAUUGUAAAUGCUACUGAAGGACAAAAAUGAAGACUUGAAUUAAUGGGAAAACCUACCUCGGACUAGAAGACCCAACAUCAUAAAGAGGACAAUUUGUUUGAAAUUAUCUCAUACAUUUUUUAUACAGCCCUCCCAAAAAUUACAAUGAGUUUUUGUGUUGUUUUUGUUUAUUUUGCUUUUUCUCAUUUUAAGAACUAGACAAGAUAAUUGAAAAAUUUGUAUGGAAAAAAAACAUACCUACAAUAAUAUCCAAGAAAACCCUGAUAUAGAAAAGCAAUAGAGGUAGAUUGGCUCUAACAUAUUAAAAUUUAUUCUAAAUUCGUAAUAAUUAAUAGUAUGUUAAUAUCACAUUAAUACCAAUAGACUAAUAAAAUAUUAUAACAA